rnacentral:lncRNA from 1 species
CAAAAUGUAUCUGCCACUUCAAACAAGGAUUCUAUUUUAUAAAACGUUCUUUCAACCAAGGAUUGAUUAUUACUGCACCGUUUGGGGACGAUCACCACACACUUCAAGAAUAUACAAACUACAAAAACUUAUCCUAAAACUAAUUUAUGAUAAAUCAAAACUUUCUCCAUCUAAACCACUUUUCGAACAGUCAAACAUUUUACCAAUAAAGUACAGAGUUAUGUAUAGGGUAGUUUGCCUAGUUUAUAAAUCCUUAAAUAACUUGACUCCAGACUAUUUAAGUAAUAUGUUCAAACCAUUGUCAACAAUUUCCCAGCGACAUACAAGAAGCACUGCCAAUAUGGACUUAUGGAUACCAAACUAUAAACUAUCAAUCACCAGGAGUGGACUUCGGUACACUGGAGCAUCUUUUUAUAAUAUGUUGCCACCAGAUAUUAGAUCUUCCAGCUCAUUUCAAGCAUUCAAGCGUAAAGCCCAUGAAUUGUUUUUGGAUAUGUAUAAAAAUAACUCAUAAGAUGUACAGUG